rnacentral:rRNA from 1 species
UACGAAGGUCCCAAGCGUUAUCCGGAAUUAUUGGGCGUAAAGAGCUCGUAGGCGGUUUGUCGCGUCUGCCGUGAAAGUCCGGGGCUCAACUCCGGAUCUGCGGUGGGUACGGGCAGACUAGAGUGAUGUAGGGGAGACUGGAAUUCCUGGUGUAGCGGUGAAAUGCGCAGAUAUCAGGAGGAACACCGAUGGCGAAGGCAGGUCUCUGGGCAUUAACUGACGCUGAGGAGCGAAAGCAUGGGGAGCGAACAGG